rnacentral:rRNA from 1 species
UACGGAGGGGGCAAGCGUUAUUCGGAAUUAUUGGGCGUAAAGGGCUCGUAGGCGGUUUGUCGCGUCGGGAGUGAAAUCCACUGGCUUAACUGGUGGCUUGCUUUCGAUACGGGCAGACUGGAGGUAUGCAGGGGAGAACGGAAUUCCGGGUGUAGCGGUGGAAUGCGUAGAGAUCCGGAAGAACACCGGAGGCGAAGGCGGCUUGCUGGGCUUGGUCUGACGCUGAGGCGCGAAGGCGUGGGGAGCGAACAGG